rnacentral:miRNA from 1 species
GUUAAUGCUGUUUUUGAAUAGCUGGAGGGCUAGUGUCAUACCUUCUUACUCGGUGACUACUCACCCUCCAGCUAUUCAAAAACAGCAUUG